rnacentral:tRNA from 1 species
GUCAGCAUAGUUUAAAAAAACACUAGAUUGUGAUUCUAAAGAUAGGGGCUAACCACCCCUUGCCGACC